UUAAGUCGUAAACUAUAGAGGGCACACGAAGCAUUCUAAUUUUUUACUCGAUUGAUAUUUCAGAACAUUGAAUACAAGUUGAGAUAUAAGAUUAUACACCUCACUUUACCUUCGCCAUACUUGUAUCGAGUGACAUCAUUCUAUGGAACCCAAAUUUAAGAAAGAGAAAGAAAGUAAACGUGAAGGAGAACACGUUCACUACGUGAAACGUAAGUCAGAGAAGGAAGAAUAGAACUACUGAGGAUUCAGAGCACAGCGCUCAGUCGUUAACGAAGCAUCGAAAUUGUUGGUUCGGUAGUACUUGUGGACAAGCUUAGAACGUAAUUCCUAGAAUAAAUAAAAAUGGUUUACCAAAUUAAGAAUGCCAGUGAUUUAAAAAAUCAGCUUGAAAAAGCUGGAGACCAAUUGGUUGUAAUUGAUUUCUUUGCUAUGUGGUGUGGUCCUUGUAAAAUGAUUGGACCUAAAGUAGAAGAGUUAUCAAUGGAAAUGGAAGAUGUUAUUUUUUUGAAAGUUGAUGUAGAUGAAUGCGAAGAUAUUGCUGGUGAAUAUGAAAUUACCAGUAUGCCUACCUUUGUUUUUAUCAAAAAUAACAAAGUGCUGGAAAACUUUUCUGGUGCUAAUUAUGAUAAACUUAAAAGCACAAUUCAGAAGCACAAAUAAAUAAAUAAUUUUAAUAAUAAAAAUAUUUUUAAACAGAAUUAUCUAUUAAUUAAUAUUAAUCAACAAAAAUGAUUAGCAGAAACUUCUUAUACUCUUAUACUCUUACCUCUCUUAUUAAAAAAUAAAGCCAUUUAUUAUUUGCAAAAUAAAGUACCAGAUUUGCAAGGUUGACCUAACAUUAAUCGACUAGAAGGAGAUUCCAAAUUAUCUCGUUUUCCUAUAAAAAAUAAAAAUAAAUAUUAAAUAUGUAAUUUUCUAAUCAAUAAAUAAUUUCAACAAUUUA